CCCUUAGAUGUUCUGGGCUGCACGCGCGCUACACUGAUGCGUUCAACGAGUUUUUGACCUUGCCUGACACGGUUGGGUAAUCUUGUUAAAACGCAUCGUGAUGGGGAUAGAUUAUUGCAAUUAUUGAUCUUCAACGAGGAAUUCCUAGUAAACGCAAGUCAUCAGCUUGCAUUGAUUACGUCCCUGCCCUUUGUACACACCGCCCGUCGCACCUACCGAUUGAAUGGUCCGGUGAAAUCUCGGGACGGCGGCUUGGUCGCUUGCGUCCGACUGCUGAAACUUGAUUAAACCAUAUCAUUUAGAGGAAGGUGAAGUCGUAACA
rnacentral:rRNA from 1 species